CACCCUUGAUGUUGACGUUUCCAGUACCUCAUUGUGCAGCCCACCCACCCAUUAAGAGGCUUUUAACAUCAAAGUUGAACCUGUGUCUAAAGUAGUUAAGUUUUCCUAUUGACAGUAAUAAAUUAACGGACUUUACGCACCAGUGAAAGACACCGGAUAAUCGGUAUUGUUUUAGGCUGACAAUUGGAAUUGAUGUCUCAUUUCUCAUCCAUGCUAACGUCAGCUGGCUGUCUAAAAUUGAUGAUGUGAGAUGAGGCGGCUAGCGACAACAUAGCUAUUCAGCAAACUGAAGAAUACUCAAAGGAAAGAUAAUAAAAUACUUAACUUCUCUCACUAGUUUAACGCCAAGUGGAAUUUCGUAUUUGUUUUGACGAAAUUGUGUUUAACUCGUGAGCAAAUGUCUAAAUUAUAGUUAAUCUUAGUCCAACACGCGCCACAGUUUUCCCACGUUUCAACUGGAUCAAAGAGUGACUUUUCCGCAAUGGAAUUCAAGUAAUGGGGGUGUAUUGCUGCUCGGACCUGUCUGUGUCUUCCCACUAUGUGGACGCGUCCCUCAUGUACCUGCUGGAGUACUACACCUACCACCUGUGUGCCUUUGACUAAAGGUACCGCUACCAGCCCCCGGCCCCCCCUGGGCUACAAGAUGGAGGUGUGGGACAGGUCAGAGGGGGGGACACUCGUACUCCAAAGAGCAGCCAGCAAUCCCGAGGGUGCCGCUGGCAAGGGGGCGGGUGCGUCCAGGACAGACAGGAAACAGGAAGUGAUGCCUCCUGCUGCUGCAGGGGAGAAGGACCCACCUGCUGCUGCUCAGGAUGACUAGCAGUAGCAGCCGUGUGUGUGUGUGUAUGCUUGCCAUUUGAGCGUGCAUGUUUUACACAUAUGUGCAAAUCACCCGCACAAAAGUGAAGACUGUGCAAACUGUGGUGCCUCCAAAUAAGUGUGCUGUGAAUGAUCUGCAAAGAAUUUCUGCUGUGAUGGCAAGAUUGGCCUUUUGGCUGUAAGUUGGUUGGGUUGUCACUGCAGCAACCCCAUCCCCUUUUAGUCCUUGUUUUAUAUUUAACAUGAUUGUUAACUCAUACCAGUUUUAAUUAUCUCAGUUCUUUAACCACUGUCUUAAGACGCAUGAAAUAAUUAUUGGAUGAUUUACUGGCUGAUUUUGGAUCAGCUUCGCAUACCCUAGUCAAAACCUAAGCUACUAGGGGUUGAAAACCAAGCCUGGUCUUAGAUCUGCAUUUAUACCUGUAGAGAUGGGUGAAAAGAGUAUCUGUAAUUAGACGUGAAAAAAACCAGCAGGUCUUUCAGCCUGAUUCCCCCCAUUCCUUUUGGAGGGAGAAAGAGGAAUCCUAGGAGACCUGGCUUUCUCUAUUCUCUAUCAGCCCCAG